AAUCCAUGAUAUGGACAAGCUCUUAAUAGCUCCUUGUACCUUUCACAAGCAUCGAAAAGGGACUCACUAUCCUAUUGAGUGAAUCUGGUAAUUUGGUUACGUAGAAC